UAAAAUCGGAGUUAUAACCCAUUUGUACCCUUUUGCGUUUCUUUUUUUGAAGAGUAUAUUUGAUAUUUAAUGCUGCUGUAUUUAUAUAUUACACAUAGGUUGCCUAUUUGAAUUCUUUGGACGUACAACAACAAAGGAUGUAAUUGAAAGAAUGAUGGAGUGCAUAUUCACCCAGCCUUUCGCCUGUCAGUGCAACUGGGUUGGCAGGAGGAAGAAAAAGGGCAUCACGAAAUUAAUUCUCAGAAAGAUGCUGCCAAAAAGAGCAACAUAAAAGAGCACUUGAGGAGGAGAGGCAACGUGCGAGGUCAGCAGCCAUGGAGACGUAGUCGGAAUCCGAAAGAUGAUGAACAAGAUUGAUAUGUAAUUCGAUAAUAAAUGUUACAACUGUGCUUUUGUUAUUCUUAAUUACUCUGGCCCAACGUUGUGCCAACUAUAUAACGCGUUAUGAAAAUGUUGGCACAACGUUGGGCCAACUAUAUAACGCGUUAUGAAAAUGUUGGCACAACGUUGGUACACCGUUGGCGCAACGUGGAAUUACCAACAGUGAGCCAAUGCUGGCCCAACGGACAAAAUGACCAUGUGCCAACGUCGGCAGUCGACGUGGGGCCACCAGUCAGUUUACGUUGGGCCAACCAUGGUAUGCUAUCUGGGAUGUUUCGAUUCGCCUUAAUUUUUAUUUUGUUAAUAAAGUACAUUUAUUCAUUGAUUUGUCCUAUAUCCAUUGAUUUUUAGAUGUCGCACAUUGCGAUCUACAUUGCG